rfam:Camelus ferus unplaced genomic scaffold scaffold630, whole genome shotgun sequence.
GAAGGUAUAGCUCAAGUGGUAGAGUGCAUGCUUAGCAUGCACAAGGUCCUGGGUUCAAUCCCCAGUACCUCCU